UACGAAGGGUGCAAGCGUUAAUCGGAAUUACUGGGCGUAAAGGGCGCGUAGGCGGCACUGUUAGUCAGGCGUGAAAGUCCUGGGCUCAACCUGGGAACUGCGCUUGAUACGGCAGAGCUAGAGGAUGGAAGAGGGUCGCGGAAUUCCCAGUGUAGAGGUGAAAAUUCGUAGAUAUUGGGAAGAACACCCGUGGCGAAGGGCGGCUCUCUGGUACGUGACUGACGCUGAGACGCGAAAGCGUGGGGAGCGAACAGGA
rnacentral:rRNA from 1 species